rnacentral:rRNA from 1 species
CAGUAGCCGCGGUAAUACAGAGGUCUCAAGCGUUGUUCGGAUUCAUUGGGCGUAAAGGGAGCGUAGGCGGUCGGGUAAGUUGGAUGUGAAAUCCUGGGGCUCAACCUCAGAACUGCAUUCAAUACUGCUUGGCUAGAGUACUGGAGAGGUGAGUGGAAUUCACGGUGUAGCAGUGAAAUGCGUAGAUAUCGUGAGGAAGACCAGCGGCGAAGGCGGCUCACUGGACAGUUACUGACGCUGAUGCUCGAAGGCCAGGGGAGCAAACGGGAUUAGAUACCCGAGUAGUCCCUGUCUCUUAUAC